rnacentral:rRNA from 1 species
GAUGAACGCUGGCGGCGUGCCUAAUACAUGCAAGUCGAGCGAACGGACGAGAAGCUUGCUUCUCUGAUGUUAGCGGCGGACGGGUGAGUAACACGUGGAUAACCUACCUAUAAGACUGGGAUAACUUCGGGAAACCGGAGCUAAUACCGGAUAAUAUUUUGAACCGCAUGGUUCAAAAGUGAAAGACGGUCUUGCUGUCACUUAUAGAUGGAUCCGCGCUGCAUUAGCUAGUUGGUAAGGUAACGGCUUACCAAGGCAACGAUGCAUAGCCGACCUGAGAGGGUGAUCGGCCACACUGGAACUGAGGCCCGGUCCAGAAUCCUACGGGAGGCAGCAGUAGGGAAUCUUCCGCAAUGGGCGAAAGCCUGACGGAGCAACGCCGCGGGAGGGAUGAAGGGCUUCGGAUCGUAAAACUCUGUUAUUAGGGAAGAACAUAUGUGUAAGUAACUGUGCACAUCUUGACGGUACCUAAUCAGAAAGCCACGGCUAACUACGUG